rnacentral:misc_RNA from 1 species
GUAGGUGAACCUGCGGAAGGAUCAUUAUUGAAAUAAAUCUGAGCAGGCUGUUGCUGGUCUUUUGACAGGUGCACGCUUGUCCUCUUUAUUUUUCCAACUGUGCACAUAUUGUAGAUCUGGAGUUUUUUUUAUUGCUUCAAAUAGAUUGAGGAGUUGCUGCAAAGUCAGCUUCACCUUGUAUUUUCCAGGUCUAUGCUUACACAUUUUCACAAUGUUAUAGAAUGUAUUGAGUAUUUUGGAUAACAAAUAUACAACUUUCAGCAACGGAUCUCUUGGCUCUC